AUUAGGUUGGUGCAAAAGUGAUUGUGGUUGUUGCCAUUACUUUCAGUGGUAAAAACUGCUAUUACUUUUACACCAACCUAA
rnacentral:miRNA from 1 species